rnacentral:rRNA from 1 species
ACUCAAAGGAAUUGACGGGGGCCCGCACAAGCGGUGGAGUAUGUGGUUUAAUUCGAUGCAACGCGAAGAACCUUACCUGGGUUUGAACUGCUGGGGACCGCCUCAGAGAUGAGGUUUUCCCUUCGGGGACUCCAGUAGAGGUGCUGCAUGGCUGUCGUCAGCUCGUGCCGUGAGGUGUUGGGUUAAGUCCCGCAACGAGCGCAACCCUUGUUCCUAGUUGCCAGCGGUUCGGCCGGGGACUCUAGGAAGACUGCCGGUGACAAACCGGAGGAAGGUGGGGAUGACGUCAAGUCAUCAUGGCCUCUAUGUCCAGGGCUACACACGUACUACAAUGGUCGGUACAAAGGGCUGCGAACCCGCGAGGGGGAGCCAAUCCCAAAAACCCGGCCUCAGUUCGGAUUGCAGUCUGCAACUCGACUGCAUGAAGGUGGAAUCGCUAGUAAUCGCGCAUCAGCAUGGCGCGGUGAAUACGUUCCCGGGCCUUGUACACACCGCCCGU